AGAGGGACAGCUGGGUCAAAUGGUGGGUCCAUUCCAAGAUUUCCAAGGAAUCUCCAUAUUGCUUUCCAUAUUGGCUGCACCAAUUUUCAGUCCUACCAGCAGU
rnacentral:pre_miRNA from 1 species